rnacentral:rRNA from 1 species
AUUGAACGCUGGCGGCAUGCCUUACACAUGCAAGUCGAACGGCAGCACGGGAGCAAUCCUGGUGGCGAGUGGCGAACGGGUGAGUAAUAUAUCGGAACGUGCCCGGUCGUGGGGAUAACGUAGCGAAAGCUACGCUAAUACCGCAUACGAUCUAAGGAUGAAAGCGGGGGAUCGCAAGACCUCGCGCGAUUGGAGCGGCCGAUAUCAGAUUAGGUAGUUGGUGAGGUAAAGGCUCACCAAGCCAACGAUCUGUAGCUGGUCUGAGAGGACGACCAGCCACACUGGAACUGAGACACGGUCCAGACUCCUACGGGAGGCAGCAGUGGGGAAUUUUGGACAAUGGACGCAAGUCUGAUCCAGCCAUUCCGCGUGCAGGAUGAAGGCCCUCGGGUUGUAAACUGCUUUUGUACGGAACGAACGGUGAGCUCUAAUACAGUUUGCUAAUGACGGUACCGUAAGAAUAAGNACCGGCUAACUACGUG